AAUGAGUCCGUGAAUCCAGAACCUUCUACCCUUAUUUCUUUCUGCAGCAUCAGCAUUUUAAUCUAUUGCACUGACAGUAAUAUGUUGGCUUUCAUUCCAGGAUCCUGAUUGUGUAAACCCCAGAUGUAUGAAUGAGGGCAGUCACCUUGAGAAGUAUCCCUGAAGUCUGGCAAGGAGAGGCUGCACAAUCUGUGCUGUACCACAGUGGCUGAAGAUUUUGGCUGCCAUCCUCUGCAGGGAAAUGAAGGCACAAAGAUGCUAAAGGACACAUCCCAGUUUUAUAAUUUUCUACAUGCUGGAAGUAGGACAGGACCCUGCCUUAGGAGACAAAGACAUUAUAUCUGAAUGCAACUGAAUCCAGGCUGGUGCCUGGCAACCCUUUUGAAGCAGUAAAAGCUUUCAGUUCAGUACCAGCUAGAAACAACUUGGAAACUUUAACUGCAAGUUUGUUCCUGUAUAAAUCCCACGAUAAGCUGCAAGCACUUAUUUCUCCAUCCGCAAAGCAAGAGGAUUGAGCUGGUUUGACCUUAGAACAUGGAAAACAUGGAAAAUUGAAGAAUGGAUCAAGCAGGAGACUUCCUUGGCCUUUUGGAACAUGCCCAGCUAGUGAAGGCACUGGUUAUGUGGCAUAGCUGGCAUGGACAAAUAUUUACAGUUCAUGCAGCAAAGAAGACAAUCACCUAUGGCAUCCUUCUGCUGCUCUGGAGGUACAGCUACCCAUGCUUCAGUACAGUAAACUCCAGUAUUGCCACUAACAUACAAGAUAAAACAGAGAAAGAACAGACCCCUUGCAACAGCAACAAGAAUCUCUUCAGUACCUGAGAUCUCUUCACUUGUGAGUAGAAAGCACAGAGAAAUAAAUAUCAUAAGAAUGGCACUAAGGACAAGAUAGACUUAUUUAUAUUUAAUAGGACUUUGUAGACUUCUGUGGCCUGAUUGCAGUGACAUGGUGUGUAAAUGAUAAAAUUUCAUUGGAUUAAAAGGAGUUUCUCUUUUAUCUGGAGUUAGCCAGCAGUUGCUCUGAAAUCACCAGAUUGUACCACUAUUUAUCGGGAAAAUUCUUAUUCCAAGCAUCUGAGUUUAUCCCUUCAGGCAUAGUUAGGCCAUAUGUAGUCACAGCAUUUCAAAUUUUGCUUGGAGCAUAAAUAUGAGGCUAGACAAUGAAAAGAGAGUUUUUAUACAUCCUUACAAUUUAUAUUUUAGCAUAUAAUGAGCAAGUGUUCCCAUGUAUGAUGAUUAGGUGCUUAUUUCCUCUGCAAGUCAAUGGUCAUGGAUUUUCUCAUCAUAAACUGUGUACUUCCAUUUCCUCCCUUGCUCUUUGUAUUCACCUCUGCAUUGUUAAACAAUUAACUAGCAGAAGCUGUUAAUAUUAUGUUAAAAAAUUCAUCCUAUUUCACGGUUUUUUUCCAGUCUUGUUACACUGUUUUCAUGUGAAAACAUGGAGGAAAACACUUAGCAAAACAAAAGACAUGUAAAAUAUCAGAAGUAGGACAUUUGUAGAUAAUCUUCAAAACCUAUUGCCAUAUGAAUUAAAGAAUGAAAACCAUCAACAUUUUGUAGCUUCUAAGAGUUUUUUUUCUUGUAUAUAUAUAUGAACAUUUGUUCUGCUUUAAAGGAUGUAUGUGUAUGAAGCAUUUCUCAAUAAAAAGCCUCAAAAUCAUG